rnacentral:rRNA from 1 species
UGGGGAAUAUUGGACAAUGGGCGCAAGCCUGAUCCAGCAAUGCCGCGUGUGUGAAGAAGGCCUUAGGGUUGUAAAGCACUUUCAGUGGGGAGAAAGUUAUGUGUUCUAAUACCAUAUGUAAUUGAUGUUACCCACAGAAGAAGCACCGGCUAACUCUGUGCCAGCAGCCGCGGUAAUACAGAGGGUGCAAGCGUUAAUCGGAAUUACUGGGCGUAAAGGGUGUGUAGGUGGUUGUAUAAGUUAGAUGUGAAAUCCCCGGGCUCAACCUGGGAAUUGCGUUUAAAACUGUAUAGCUAGAGUAUUGUAGAGGAUAGUGGAAUUUCCAGUGUAGCGGUGAAAUGCGUAGAUAUUGGAAGGAACACCAGUGGCGAAGGCGACUAUCUGGGCACAUACUGACACUGAGACACGAGAGCAUGGGGAGCAAACAGG